rnacentral:rRNA from 1 species
UACGUAGGGGGCGAGCGUUGUCCGGAUUUAUUGGGCGUAAAGAGCUCGUAGGCGGUUUGGUAAGUUGGAUGUGAAAUCUCCAGGCUCAACUUGGAGGGGUCAUUCGAUACUGCCAUGACUAGAGUUCGGUAGGGGAGUGUGGAAUUCCUGGUGGAGCGGUGAAAUGCGUAGAUAUCAGGAGGAACACCGGUGGCGAAGGCGGCCCUCUGGACGGUGACUGACGCUAAGACGCGAAAGCGUGGGGAGCAAACAGG